CGAAAGGACGCUCAGCUCCGUGGGCUGUCUGCAGUGACUCCUGCAGAAAAGCUGAGGGACUGACAGAUCGCUGGGACAGAAGGCCUGCUUCCCGGGUCUACUGGCCAGCCCUUCUGCCCUCAUUUGUGUCUGAAAGGCUGCCCCCCCCGUCCUGCUCCUCUCUGCCCUCAGCCCUGCCUCUUCUAGGAUCCUCUCCAGUUUCAGUGUCAAGUCUCCGUGGCAGCUGUGUCAGGUCCUGGCCCCUGAGGAAUCACAUGCCAAAGAAAGUGUGGGAGGAGUGGGACAAUUCAGAGUUCAUCCAAAGCAGCUGAACUGCAAAAAAGGAGAGCUGUAAAGAUAAGGAUGAAGAAAGAACUACUAUAGUGCAAAGCAGUGGUAGAGCAGGAAGGAACACGGAGGAACAGCUCUGCGCUGGAGCAGUCGACUGCUGGUUUCCUGCUGGCUUGUGAUAACUACUGGCAUCCUUAUCAGAGCAAGAGACCUUCUCUGAAAGCCUACAUAAGCUUGUCAGGAUUUGCCAGGAGUGCUUUGCAGAGUUCCUCAAAGCUCCAGCAGAGCACACAGGAUACAGCUCUGUUCUCCUGGCAAAGCCACGUUAACCACGAGGGAGUGUGCGGCAGGACGCGAGGACUGAAAACCCUGUGGGAGUCAGCGGGUGCAGGCUGUGCUUCUGCCCCGCUCUGGCGCCACAGGCUGCCCAGGCCUGGAGGACACAACUGCCUCUCCCUCCUCUGCAAGGGUAAGAUCGAGGACACUGCACGCUGGUUGGGAGCUUAAAGGCAGAUUCUGUUUGCAGGGGCAUAUCAGGCAGAAGGAACACAUCCACAAGCCAGGCUAAGCCUAUGGGACUAAACCCACCUGGAAUCCUCCACCUGUGCCACCCUCAGCAGGCCUGAGAGCAGGCCACAACUGCCCCACCCAGCUUAGGCCCACAAGGCCUCAGCAGGCCGCAUGAGGCAGCUCCGGCUCCCUGCCGGCCUGCAGCCUCCACACAC